CAGGGAUGAAGCACUGCUCUCUGAGGCUGCGGGAGCGCUGAUAAGCGAGCUCUGCUAACAGCUCACGCUGAGGCGGAACCACUGCACGUGCGCGGGAUCGGCGGGCGACUCCGAAGCGCACGUAAGGUGUGGAGGAGGAGGGUUUGCAGCAGUCGGAUAGGUGUAGCCGUCUCCUUGCCAAGCGAAGCAGCCCGUAAGGUCACAGACCGGCGCGUCUGUUUCCCGAGGCACUGUCCCCGUGCCGACGCGGAGUGCCCGCUGGGGCCGCGCGGUCUCCCCCUGCUCCGCGCGGCCUGCGCCGGACGCUCCCCGCCACCGCCGCGCCGCAGCCAGACACAGCUACCCACCCU
rnacentral:lncRNA from 1 species